GCCUCCCUAGCUCAGUGGUAGAGCAGCUCACUUGUAAUGAGCAGGUCAUCCGUUCAAUCCGGAUGGGGGGCUCAA
rnacentral:tRNA from 1 species